rnacentral:rRNA from 1 species
CACACCGCCCGUCACAUCACGAAAGCCAUUUGUACUAGAAGCCGGCAAUUCAACCGCAAGGAGGUAGCCGUCCAAGGUAUGAAUGGUGAUUGGGGUG